rnacentral:lncRNA from 1 species
UUCAUAUUUAACUAAUCAUAUAAAGAUAUUUAUCUCUCCUAUCAUCUUUCCUAAUCCAAAUCAGAUUUUUCUUAAAAGCCAAUUAUUACUCAUCUUUCCUAACCCAAAUCAAAUUUUCUUAAAAGCCAAUUAUUAUUGCAUUUGCCUAUGGAUAUCCAAAAUUGUCACGCCAUCAAAGAAUUAGUACGGAAUGCAAAGAAACGGAAAAAAAAGUAUGAAGGAGUAUAUGAGAGUCAAACAAAUAAAUUUUAAAAUAAUAAUAGUUAGUUUUUAACUACCGUUAAAUUGUAAAUGCCUACUUUUCAUACAUCUAUAAGCCAACAACCUAUAUACUAU